rnacentral:rRNA from 1 species
GAAGGCCUUCGGGUUGUAAACCUCUUUCAGCAGGGAAGAAGCGAAAGUGACGGUACCUGCAGAAGAAGCACCGGCUAACUACGUGCCAGCAGCCGCGGUAAUACGUAGGGUGCGAGCGUUGUCCGGAAUUAUUGGGCGUAAAGAGCUUGUAGGCGGUUUGUCGCGUCUGCUGUGAAAAUCCGGGGCUCAACCCCGGACUUGCAGUGGGUACGGGCAGACUAGAGUGUGGUAGGGGAGACUGGAAUUCCUGGUGUAGCGGUGAAAUGCGCAGAUAUCAGGAGGAACACCGAUGGCGAAGG